rnacentral:rRNA from 1 species
UACAGGGGGGGCAAGCGUUGUUCGGAAUUACUGGGCGUAAAGGGUUCGUAGGUGGCCAACUAAGUCAAACGUGAAAUCCCCCCGCUCAACGGGGGGACGGCCUCGGAUACGGGCGGCCUGGAGGCGGGUAGGGGCACGCGGAACUGUGGGUGGAGCGGUGAAAUGCGUUGAGAUCCACAGGAACUCCGGUGGCGAAGGCGGCGUGCUGGGCAGUAGCUGACACUGAGGCGCGACAGCGUGGGGAGCAAGCAGG